AACGAACGCUGGCGGCAGGCUUAACACAUGCAAGUCGAACGCACCGCAAGGUGAGUGGCAGACGGGUGAGUAACGCGUGGGAACGUACCCUUUACUACGGAAUAACUCAGGGAAACUUGUGCUAAUACCGUAUGUGCCCUUCGGGGGAAAGAUUUAUCGGUAAAGGAUCGGCCCGCGUUGGAUUAGCUAGUUGGUGGGGUAAAGGCCUACCAAGGCGACGAUCCAUAGCUGGUCUGAGAGGAUGAUCAGCCACAUUGGGACUGAGACACGGCCCAAACUCCUACGGGAGGCAGCAGUGGGGAAUAUUGGACAAUGGGCGCAAGCCUGAUCCAGCCAUGCCGCGUGAGUGAUGAAGGUCUUAGGAUUGUAAAGCUCUUUCACCGGGGAAGAUAAUGACGGUACCCGGAGAAGAAGCCCCGGCUAACUUCGUGCCAGCAGCCGCAGUAA
rnacentral:rRNA from 1 species